UACGACCAGUACGUUCGUCUCUGUGUACCUGGGUGUACAUAGUUUAGGUCUUUCCGUCCAACGUAACAUUGACGGCGCGGCUCUGAUUUCCACGCGUGCCUCAAGGACAAGCCCGACGAGCGAUAAGAACGGACAUCGCGAUAGAAAAAGACGAGGAGAGCGCAGUGACAUACCGGGACAGCAUAGAGGAGACGCGUCUAGAGCAAUCGCGCACAUAGAGACCCGGCCGAGUUUUCGACGCUUCGUCUCGAGCGUCGCAGCCCAAAAAGACAGCAGCAGCGUCGUCGCACGUCGAUUUUACGGAAGGACAGCGUCAGGAGAAGGAGGGCGGCAGUAACAGGUGGAAAGUUUUAGAAUAAUCGGAGGCGAUGGAUCAAGGAUUCCCGGGGCAGCACACCACCACGACCACGGUGACGACCACCACAACGACCACUCAGCCCAACAUACGGUUUGAUCCGGCGUACGCGAGAACAAUACCCGGAAUUUUGAAAAUCGUGCAAGUGGUACUGAAUCUCCUGGGAUUUAUAUGCAUAACGGUGUCGACUCACAGUAGUCACAGCCGGGGAGGAUGGUUCAAUACCGUGGCCAUGUGCGGCUUCUGGUUCACGGGAAUCCUGCUCGUUCUCUACUUGUUCCACAUCAUCGAGAAGUUUGCCAGGAUCCCGUGGCUUAAAAUUGAAUUUGUAUUCUGCACGGUUUGGACCGUUUUUUACUUGUUGGCCGCUUCCCUCGCAGCUGACUACGCGCGUUACACGGAAGCCUUCGGCGUGGCAGCGUUCUUCGGAUUUUGCGCGAUGGUGGUGUACGGCUACGAUGCUUGGCUGAAGUUUAAGGCGGUGAAGAGCGGAGCUUUGGCACAGGGCCAGCACACGCCGAAACAAGUGUCCACCGUCACCAGCCCGGCGUAUUAAAAUCCGAAGACGGGCCCAGAGAGCACGGACGGACCAUCGAUUGACUGAUUGCACCGAUCGCUCAAUCGAGACAUAUCGUAUCUUUGUGCGGGGCCAGCCUUUUUAAUUACGACGCAUUUCUUUUGUGCGGUUAAACGUCAAGCGGCUUUUUCCGCCCGACGUUUUUCCCUUUGAUUGCACGUGUGUAUGUGUGUGUUUGUACGUAUGCAUACUCAUUUAUUUUCACCCGGGAGGUGCCGGCAACCGGGAUAAGGGAUGCGCGCGGGAUGGCGAACACUUUACUGCUGGUACUCACAAUUACCGCGACGCGCAUGUUGU
rnacentral:misc_RNA from 1 species